rnacentral:tRNA from 1 species
GCCCCGGUGGCUCAGCUGGUAGAGCGCAUGCCACAUACGCAGCAGCUCAGGUUCAAAUCAGGCCUGGGCCC